CCUACGGGUGGCAGCAGUGAGGAAUAUUGGUCAAUGGACGCAAGUCUGAACCAGCCAUGCCGCGUGCAGGAUGACGGCGCUAUGAGUUGUAAACUGCUUUUGUACGAGGGUAAUAUCGGAUACGUGUAUCUGCUUGAAAGUACCGUACGAAUAAGGAUCGGCUAACUCCGUGCCAGCAGCCGCGGUAAUACGGAGGAUCCAAGCGUUAUCCGGAUUUAUUGGGUUUAAAGGGUGCGUAGGCGGGAUUUUAAGUUAGAGGUGAAAUGUCGGGGCUCAACUCCGGCCGUGCCUCGAAUACUGGAUGACUUGAGAAGGGGGGCGGUAGGCGGAAUGUGUGGUGUAGCGGUGAAAUGCGUAGAGAUGACGCAGAACACCGAUUGCGAAGGCAGCUUACCGAAGGGGAUCUGACGUUGAGGCACGAAAGCGUGGGGAGCAAACAGGAUUAGAUACCCCAGUAGUC
rnacentral:rRNA from 1 species